rnacentral:rRNA from 1 species
CCUACGGGUGGCUGCAGUGGGGAAUAUUGGACAAUGGGGGAAACCCUGAUCCAGCAAUGCCGCGUGUGUGAAGAAGGCCUGCGGGUUGUAAAGCACUUUCGGUUGGGAAGAAAAGUUUGGCGCCAAUACCGCCGAACCUUGACGUUACUGACAGAAGAAGCACCGGCUAACUCUGUGCCAGCAGCCGCGGUAAUACAGAGGGUGCAAGCGUUGAGCGGAAUCACUGGGCGUAGUCCUUCAAUAGGGGGGUGAAAUCCCAGGGCUUAACCUGGGAACUGCAUUCGAUACUACAUGGCUAGAGUAUGGUAGAGGGAAGUGGAAUUUCCGGUGUAGCGGUGAAAUGCGUAGAUAUCGGAAGGAACACCAAUGGCGAAGGCAGCUUCCUGGAUUAAUACUGACACUGAGGCACGAAAGCGUGGGUAGCAAACAGGAUUAGAUACCCCUGUAGUC